rnacentral:rRNA from 1 species
GACGAACGCUGGCGGCGUGCCUAAUACAUGCAAGUAGAACGCACAGUUUAUACCGUAGCUUGCUACACCAUAGACUGUGAGUUGCGAACGGGUGAGUAACGCGUAGGUAACCUGCCUGGUAGCGGGGGAUAACUAUUGGAAACGAUAGCUAAUACCGCAUAAUAUUAAUUAUUGCAUGAUAAUUGAUUGAAAUAUGCAACUGCAUCACUACCAGAUGGACCUGCGUUGUAUUAGCUAGUAGGUGAGGUAACGGCUCACCUAGGCGACGAUACAUAGCCGACCGGCGAGGGUGAUCGGCCACACUGGGACUGAGACACGGCCCAGACUCCUACGGGAGGCAGCAGUAGGGAAUCUUCGGCAAUGGACGAAAGUCUGACCGAGCAACGCCGCGUGAGUGAAGAAGGUUUUCGGAUCGUAAAGCUCUGUUGUAAGAGAAGAACGGGUGUGAGAGUGGAAAGUUCACACUGUGACGGUAUCUUACCAGAAAGGGACGGCUAACUACGUG